UUUUUCCCUAACUUCGUUUUCUCAUAGAACCCUAGUCGUCGUGUUCCUCUUCCUUUUCCUUGAGCGCCUCCACACUUUGGCCUCUGUCAUUCCAGCCACUUUCUGAGAUGUCCUUCAUAUUUUAUAUUUUAUCAUGACUCCAUCUUCGUUCUGUAUUAUAUUUCUGUCUCUCUACAAAGCAAGGACAUUUGAGUUUUCUAUGUGAUUGUUGCCACUGGAAUCACCAGGGACAAUUUCGACUAUUUCUAUUAUUGAGACAUUUGAAUUUAAGGCAAUUUCAGCUAUUUCUAUUAUUGGGACACUUGAAUUUUUUAAGUUUGGUAUUUUGUAUCCAAAUCAGAUUGGGAGCUAAAGCACCAAUAACUCAUAUAGAUGUAAUUUUUUAUGUAAAUAAUAAAAAUGAAUUUGAUCAUUAACUUAACAUAA